rnacentral:rRNA from 1 species
AGAGUUUGAUCCUGGCUCAGGAUGAACGCUAGCGGCAGGCCUAACACAUGCAAGUCGAGGGGUAACAUUGUAGCUUGCUACAGAUGACGACCGGCGCACGGGUGCGUAACGCGUAUACAAUCUACCUUUUGCUGAGGGAUAGCCCAGAGAAAUUUGGAUUAACACCUCAUGGUAUUAUAGAUCGGCAUCGAUUUUUAAUUAAAGGUUACGGCAAGAGAUGAGUAUGCGUCCUAUUAGCUAGAUGGUAAGGUAACGGCUUACCAUGGCUACGAUAGGUAGGGGCCCUGAGAGGGGGAUCCCCCACACUGGUACUGAGACACGGACCAGACUCCUACGGGAGGCAGCAGUGAGGAAUAUUGGGCAAUGGAGGCAACUCUGACCCAGCCAUGCCGCGUGCAGGAAGACUGCCCUAUGGGUUGUAAACUGCUUUUAUACAGGAAGAAACACUCCCUCGAGUAGGGAGCUUGACGGUACUGUAAGAAUAAGGAUCGGCUAACUCCGUGCCAGCAGCCGCGGUAAUACGGAGGAUCCAAGCGUUAUCCGGAAUCAUUGGGUUUAAAGGGUCCGUAGGUGGAUAAUUAAGUCAGAGGUGAAAUCCUGCAGCUCAACUGUAGAAUUGCCUUUGAAACUGGUUAUCUUGAGUCAUUAUGAAGUGGUUAGAAUGUGUAGUGUAGCGGUGAAAUGCAUAGAUAUUACACA